CCUACUACCAUAAAAAAAUAAAAAAAGUGGAAAAAACACUAGUACGUAAAGGCUCAAUUCGUUUGCAGAACCACUCAUGGCUUCACUCAUUCUCUUCAACCUCGCGGGUCCAUGAGUUCGAGGCUAAACCCACCUCCAUCUUCAACCGAUAUGUCCAAAUGGCUAACCAUGAUUCGCAGACACGCUUCAGACGCCAACCCUUUUCAUGCAAUCUCUUUCUUUAAAGCCAUUCCGAGAAAUCAACGUGAGAAUGCCCCACUUGAUGAUCACUUCGUAUAUGCUUCCUUGAUCAAAGCUUGUAACAGACUGUCUGCAAUUCGUGAAGGACGAUCGAUACACUGUCAUGUUCUAAGGUUUGGGUUGGACUACAAUGUUAAUGUGCUGAAUGCUCUUGUUUAUCUUUAUUCGAGUGCGGAGAAGUCGAUGGGCUGUGCUUGUGCUCUGUUUGAUAAAAUUCCUGAGAAAACGAUUGUUACAGUUAACUGUAUGAUAUCUGGGUUUGUGAAGAACAAGCGCUUUCAUGCGGGUGUGGGCUUGUUUAAUCGAGUUCUGGGAGGUGGUUUUGAUUUGAGAGUGAAACCAAAUUAUGUUACUUUGGUGAUUUUGAUUUCUGGGUGCGUUGAGUUUGGGAGGUUUAGCAUUGGGAAUUCCCUGCAUUCUUAUUGUUGCAAAACGAGUUUGGAUUUGAAGAAUGAGGUCCGUAAUGCGCUUAUCCAUUUAUAUGCGGAAUUUGAAUAUAUGGAUGCUGCUGCUAAGCUGUUUCAUGAAACGAACGUGAGGGAUUUGGUUUCUUGGAACACUAUGAUUGCAGGGUAUGCUAAGAAUAAUGACUGUAGAAAUGCCUUUUCCUUGUUUAGAGAAAUGAGAAUUGGGAAUGUUGAAUGUGAUAGAGUAUCUCUGGUUAGCUUGAUUUCAGCAUGUACUAAUAGUAGAGAUCUCCACAUGGGGAAAGCGGUUCAUGCAUUUAUAAAAGUAAGUGGAAUGGAGAUGAUGAUUCAUUUUGAGACUGCAUUGAUCAACAUGUAUUCCAAAUGUGGAUCCAUAGAGUUAGGUAGAAAAGUUUUUGAUGAACUAGCAGAUGAAAAUAUUGCAUCUUGGAACUCCAUGAUAUAUGGGUAUGUCGAGUGUGGGUUUAAUAUUGAGGCUUUGAGUCUCUGGAAUGUUAUUCAGUCUAGAAAGAUAAAACCAGAUGAAGUGACAAUGCUAGGAUUGAUAUCAGCUUGCCGGAGUUCAGGAGAUUUGCAUCAGGGAAUUCAAAUAAAUUCUUAUAUAGAGAGCAGUGAUCAUCUUAGUGGGAGUACAGUCCUUUGCAAUGCUCUUAUUGAUAUGUAUGCAAAAUGUGGGAGUAUGGAUCGAGCUGAAACUGUUUUUAGUAAGAUGCCCAGAAGAGAUGUUAUCUCUUGGACUUCAAUCAUAGUAGGUUAUGCAAUCAAUGGUGAAGGAGAGGAAGCCCUUCUUGCUUUUCGGAAAAUGGGUGCUGAGAAAAUUGAACCAAAUUCUGUCACAUUUCUUGGAGUUCUGUCAGCAUGUGACCAUGCUGGCUUGGUUGACAAAGGCAAAAACUUGUAUGAUAUUAUGUGUAAGUACUACCACAUAGAGCCAAAGAUUGAGCACUGUGGAUGCAUGGUUGAUAUGCAUGCAAGAGCUGGAAUGCUAGAAGAGGCGUACAAGUUUGUGAAGGACAUGCCAGUAGAGCCAAAUGCAGUUGUUUGGAGGAUGUUAAUUAAUGCUUGUAGAGUUCAUGGAGAUUUUAAUUUGGGGUUGAACUUAGUGAGUGGGCUCAUUGACGUAAAGACAGAACAUGGUCCCGAAGAUCAUGUUAUUUCCUCAAACAUUUUUGCUGAAGCAGGAAGAUGGGAUGAUGUUUUACAAGAAAGAAGUUUGAUGGUAGCCCAAAAAGCUGUAAAACUACCAGGAAAAAGCUCAAUUGCAGACUCACUUGAGUGACUUCAUUGUGUGAGGUUUAAGGCAUCUUGAGGUAAAUAUGACUGUUUGAUGUCUAAGCUAGAAACAAUCUCUUAAUUUCUCCCCUGUCCAGACCAUCAAUAGCAGCACAGGUGGCAUUCAUCUUCAAGUACUCUACAUCGCAGCCCCAAUAUCCAACUGGCAAAACUUAAUUAAGGUUUGUGCCAAAGAAACUUUCAUUUGGGAAUGCAAACCUGAGCAGCGUCAUCAUCGAUCAUAUUUGAUUCCUGGCAGAGAUUGCCUUCCUUGUCUGCCAUACUAAUAAAUCUGGUCUUGUUCCAUAUUUCCAAUCAUUCUAGGCACGGCUCUUCAAUAUUGGAUCUCUCCAUCUUUAGGAUUUGUAUCUUGGAAGUUUUUAUCAUUCAAUGUAUAACCAAAAUGUUAUCCAUUGAUACUGACCCAAUUAUGAUGUUUGUUAAACAGAUACAAAUUGUCCAGCUUGAUCAUUAUAUUUCUACUUAUCCUUCCAGGAUUGCUCCUAUGUUCCAGCAAUUUCAGUAGAUAGCAGAAUGGGUGGCCCUUCGAAUAAUGUAGUUGUUCCCUUUUGUUCUAUCAAUGUAUUUGUUCUGGGCUAUGCUGUAGUUGGUACCUUUUUUGUAUCAAUGCAUUUGUUACCAACUAUGAUGAUUA